rnacentral:rRNA from 1 species
UACGUAGGUGGCAAGCGUUGUCCGGAUUUACUGGGCGUAAAGGAUGUGUAGGCGGAUACUUAAGUGAGAUGUGAAAGCCCCGGGCUCAACCUGGGGACUGCAUUUCAAACUGGGUAUCUAGAGUGCAGGAGAGGAAAGCGGAAUUCCUAGUGUAGCGGUGAAAUGCGUAGAGAUUAGGAAGAACAUCAGUGGCGAAGGCGGCUUUCUGGACUGUAACUGACGCUGAGGCAUGAAAGCGUGGGGAGCAAACAGGAUUAGAUACCCUGGUAGUCCACGCCGUAAACGAUGAGUACUAGGUGUAGGAGGUAUCGACUCCUUCUGUGCCGCAGUUAACACAAUAAGUACUCCGCCUGGGAAGUACGGUCGCAAGAUUAAA